rnacentral:rRNA from 1 species
GACGAACGCUGGCGGCGUGCCUAAUACAUGCAAGUAGAACGCACAGUUUAUACCGUAGCUUGCUACACCAUAAACUGUGAGUUGCGAACGGGUGAGUAACGCGUAGGUAACCUGCCUGGUAGCGGGGGAUAACUAUUGGAAACGAUAGCUAAUACCGCAUAAUAUUGAUUAUUGCAUGAUAAUUGAUUGAAAGCUGCUAUUGCAUCACUACCAGAUGGACCUGCGUUGUAUUAGCUAGUAGGUGAGGUAACGGCUCACCUAGGCGACGAUACAUAGCCGACCUGAGAGGGUGAUCGGCCACACUGGGACUGAGACACGGCCCAGACUCCUACGGGAGGCAGCAGUAGGGAAUCUUCGGCAAUGGACGAAAGUCUGACCGAGCAACGCCGCGUGAGUGAAGAAGGUUUUCGGAUCGUAAAGCUCUGUUGUAAGAGAAGAACGGGUGUGAGAGGGAAAGUUCACACU